rnacentral:rRNA from 1 species
UACGAGUGCCCCAAGCGUUAUCCGGAAUUAUUGGGCGUAAAGGGUGUGUAGGUGGUUUUAUUAGUCUCUUGUUAAAUUCUUCGGCUUAACCGGGGGUCUGCAAGAGAAACGGUAAGACUAGAGGAUGUGAGAGGUGUGCGGAACUCAUGGUGUAGGGGUGAAAUCCGUUGAUAUCAUGGGGAACACCAAAAGCGAAGGCAGCACACUGGCACAUUCCUGACACUGAGACACGAAAGCGUGGGUAGCGAAUGGG